rnacentral:rRNA from 1 species
AUUGAACGCUGGCGGCAGGCCUAACACAUGCAAGUCGAACGAGUGGCGGACGGGUGAGUAAUGUCUGGGAAACUGCCCGAUGGAGGGGGAUAACUACUGGAAACGGUAGCUAAUACCGCAUACCAUCGGAUGUGCCCAGAUGGGAUUAGCUAGUAGGAGGGGUAACGGCUCACCUAGGCGACGAUCCCUAGCUGGUCUGAGAGGAUGACCAGCCACACUGGAACUGAGACCCGGUCCAUACUCCUACGGGAGGCAGCAGUGGGGAAUAUUGCACAAUGGGCACAAUCCUGCUGCAGCCAUGCCUCGUGUAUGAAGAAGGCCUUCAGGUUGUAAAGUACUUUCAGCGAGGAGGUGUUACUCGCAGUAGAAUCUCCGUCUAACUCCGUGCCAGCAGCCGCGGUAAUAC